UACGGGGGGGGCAAGCGUUGUUCGGAAUUACUGGGCGUAAAGGGCUCGUAGGCGGCCAACUAAGUCGGAUGUGAAAUCCCCAGGCUCAACCUGGGAACUGCAUCCGAUACUGGAUGGCUUGAAUUCGGGAGAGGGAUGCAGAAUUCCAGGUGUAGCGGUGAAAUACGUAGAUAUUAGGAAGAACACCGGUGGCGAAGGCGGCCAUCUGGGAUACAACUGACGCUGAGGCGCGAAAGCGUGGGGAUCAAACAGG
rnacentral:rRNA from 1 species